rnacentral:rRNA from 1 species
GACGAACGCUGGCGGCGUGCCUAAUACAUGCAAGUCGAACGGUCUUUUCUAUGGAAGCUUGCUUCCACUGAGAAGAUAGUGGCGAACGGGUGAGUAACACGUGGGUAACCUGCCCAUAAGAGGGGGAUAACAUCCGGAAACGGGUGCUAAUACCGCAUAGUUUUCUUGAUCGCAUGAUCGGGAAAGGAAAGACGGCCUUUGUGCUGUCGCUCAUGGAUGGACCCGCGGCGUAUUAGUUAGUUGGUGAGGUAACGGCUCACCAAGACGAUGAUACGUAGCCGACCUGAGAGGGUGAUCGGCCACAUUGGGACUGAGACACGGCCCAAACUCCUACGGGAGGCAGCAGUAGGGAAUCUUCCGCAAUGGACGAAAGUCUGACGGAGCAACGCCGCGUGAGUGAAGAAGGUUUUCGGAUCGUAAAACUCUGUUGUCAGAGAAGAACAAGUUGGAGAGUAACUGCUCCAGCCUUGACGGUAUCUGACCAGAAAGCCACGGCUAACUACGUGCCAGCAGCCGCGGUAAAAC